rnacentral:lncRNA from 1 species
UUUUUUCUUUUGCUUAUCGAGACAUUAGAUUUAAUGGUGGUAUUGGUCUGAUUUGGAGCAUGCUUAGGCGUGCUUAAAAUUUAUUCUUCUUUAAAAAGAACGUAAGUUUAGUCUGUUAAUAAAAUUGCAAAAGGCAUUUUAAGGACAAUUUUGCUAUACCUUGGAGUCUAUUAUGCUUUGGUGGAUGAGUUGUGUGCAGUCAAUCGUGCAAUAGAUUUUGGUCGUGUGCGGAUUUUAAGAUUUCGCAAGAUUAAAGUAUCAACAUAUGCUUGCUACGUCUCUAUCCACCAGUUGAAUAUUUUGCACACUUAGCAUUGUUAUGUAACAAUUUUCAUAUAAAAGAGUGUUUCGAUCAUUAUUUGCACUUAGAUAGUUAAAUUAGUGUUGAAAAAUAUAAGCACACGAGAAAUAAAAUGUACAAAGAUAUGAC